rnacentral:lncRNA from 1 species
GAUGCGCGUAUGUAUGUACGUAUGUAUGUAUGUUGUUACAGGGUGGUUAACUUCGCCAGCGGCCCCCUUUCCCGGGGCAGUCCCUGCUCUCCCCUGCUAGAGGGGCACCCUAAUCCGUCACCCCAUCCGACUUCAGAAUGUAUUCGUUGGGUUCGGCAACUCACCACCGGCAUCCAACCAAAUCUAGCGGAUCAACGGCGCAUCAACUUAGUUCCUGGUCAGCUCGCAAGAUGAUAUUAUCACGUCCUACAUCGUCCAUAUGAUGGGGGGCCACCUCCCAUUUCAUCACUCCUCAAACACCCGAGGAGCUGGCAGGCGGAUUUGAACCCGGGUCGACUGGAUCGACUGGGAGCAGAAGUCAGGCCUUAACUUCUGCCAGCCGCCUGCCUUGUAUGUAUGUAUGUAUAGAUGGAUGGUUGUACGUACGGAUGUUGUACGUACGGAUGUAUGGAUGUACGGAUGUACGGAGGGUGUGGGGGUUGGGUAUGGGGUGAAGGGGACGAUGAAGGUGGCGGGGCGGUGUGCCCCCGGGGUAACCCCCCCAAACCUCCCUCAGACUGCCCCAAACCUCCCAACAAAAAAACAAAACAGGCCCCCCACACCCACACACACACGCACCCCCCCACACAUGCGCACCUGGAUGUGCCGAAGCAGCUGUAGCCCAUUACGUUGCCGCUCCGCCGUGGCGUUGCGCGCCGCCGUCAUGUGCCGUACGACGUGACGGGGGAAUAUGUCCGCCAGCAGUCGCUGCUCCGCUUCUAGAACCCGUGUCAGCACCUCCUCAGCACGAACCUUGGAUUUGGAUUUGGAUUUGGAUUUGGAUUUGGAUUCGGAUUUGGAUGGAUUUAGAAUGAGAGAGGAGGGGAGGUGAUGUGCUGAAGCCGUAGCUCUGAUCCCGUUUAAGGGGGACAGGGGAGGGAAUGGGUUUUAUAUAAUACAGGUUAAUUGUUAAAUAUUCUUUAGGAUUAUUAACGACCAGUUUUUCAACCCGCUCAAACUUCACCUGGCUGCUGACGUCAGUUUGGAUGACCAAGAUGACUCUCUCGCCGCUUAUAGGGUCGUCCACGGGUUUCACGUGUACUUCAUGCCACCGUACGGCACCCGUGUUCGUACCCGAGCUUUCCAUUCCGGAGCACAAAGCCGUCGAGUUCAUGAGCGUACAGUGCGCCGCGCCGUCGGCUGCCCCUACGCCGGCGGCAGCGGCGGGGGCGCCGCCACCGCCACGCCCGCUCACGGAUGUCGUACCCCGCCGAAACGACGCCGCCGCCGACAGUGACGACGUUCCCGCCGGCCCCAGCCAAUCCGCCGGGGGCCUAUCCCCCGACGCCCUGCUUGUUGUGGCAGUGCCGUACCCCGGCAACGAUGUUUCCGUACCGCUGUACAGCAGCAUCCCGACGGGAGCCCCGCUGACGUCGAGCCAGGAAGACGAAUCGUCGCCUGGCUGCAACGGAUUGGAUAGAGGGCUCUGAUGGCCGCGGCCGCCGCUGCGGAUGCUAUGCAGGGAGGAGGAGAGGCUCGUUUGGAGGCGGAGGCCUCCCGCCGGGGGCCCGCCGCCGCCGCCACCGCUGCCGCCGCCAACGCCAACGCUUCCCCCGGCAAGCACCGAUCGAAGCAUCGCCCUCAUGCGCGAUCUCGGAUCUUGAUAGUAUUGGCUUUGCGAAGUCCUACGGAAGCUUCCACGGGACGUGUACGACACGGAGGCGUAGUUACGCUCCGCAGCUAACGCCGUGGCUGGCGCAAGCAUCGGCGGCGCCGAAACCACGGCAGCGACGGUGGAGUCGGUAGCUCGCCCGCCUCGGUCGGAGCCGCUUCCGCCACCGGCGGCUGUUGGCAGCUGCUGCUGCUGCUGCUGCGGCGGCGGCGGCGGCGCUGCAGCCGGCGGCGGCGGCGGCGGCUUGACGGCGGAGUUGGAGUCCGCUUCAGGGAAGCGAUCAACGGCGACAGAUCCGGCCCUGGGCGACAAGCUGAUGGACACUGGCCGAGAUUCUCGAAAGCUCAGGUUCCGUGUCGUACGCCGCGGACGCUCAAGAGAUUCAGAGUUCGCUCGGCUCAGCAGCGACCGACGCGGCGAUCGCAGAGUAAGCGGCACGUGGGAUGCCGACGCCGAUGCCGACGCUGAUGCCGCCUGACCGGCCGGCGUCAACCGUGACGCUAGCUGCGCGCUUUGGUGUUCUGCAGAAAGCACACACCCCCGUCUAAUCUGACCGCCGCCGCCGCCACCGGUGCGGCCGCAACACCCCGCCACCUCCUGCUGCGCGACCGUGGCGGGCUGGAAGCCAGCAGAGACUGCUACGCCGGUCCUGGCGGCGGCAGCGGCGGCGGCGGCUGCGGCGGCGGUGGCGGGCGGAAGAGAGCCUUCACUCACCGGUUGAAUACGGAAACGGGAGCUAGGAGGCCGCUGCCACGAGGAAAUUGGGGACGCAAGCCCCGGGGACGCCGCCGCCGCCGUCGCCAUCGCCGUCGACGUCACCGCCGUCGCCGCAUUAGAAUUGCAGUAACCGUUACCGUCACCGCUGGCACCAGCGCUCAUCGCAGCGGCGGUUAGGCCUGCCGUACUGCCCACUUGCAGCCAGUGGCUCAAAGGCAUCGGCGGCAGCAUCGGCGCGGCGGCGGCGGCGACGGCGGCGGCAGACACUUUGCCUGUCAUGACGUUUGUGAGAUCGAGGCUGGCGUAGGUGGGUACCAGCCCCGGGGGCCUGGUGUCCAUAAGGGAUGGGUCGCGGGACGAGUUGCCGCCGCCGCCACCGUUCGGGAAGGUGUAGCCGUUGGCCGUCCCAUGGGUCAUUGUUGUCGUCGUCGUCGUCGUCGUCAUCAUCAUCAUUGUCGUCGUCAUCAUCACAGUGGCCUCCGCCGCCUCUGCCUCCGCCGCCGCUGCUGCCGCCGUGGCGUCGUUCGCCUCUUCGCCGGCGGUCCCAAGAAGGAACAUGCCGCGGCGCGAACAGGCUGCCGCACCGCCGCCGCCGCCGCCGCUGCCGGCACCACCGGCACGGCCACCGCCGGCAUCCAGCACCAGCUGAGAGAAGACCGACCCGUGGUUCGCAAUCCAGCCUGCCGCCGCUGCCGCCGUUGGCCCAUUCUGUGCCGGGGCUGCUAGGAUCUGGCAGGGCGUGGGCGUGACGUCAGCGUCGGCGCCGGCUGCGCUUGCAGCGGGUACGACAACACCCACAAUGCUGGGCAAAGGAGUGGCUGCAAUUUCAGGCGCUGCGGCAGCAUCGGUGGCGCCGGCGGUUGUGGCAGUGGCAGCGGCAGCAGAUUUGGCGGCUGCGGCUGCGGCUGCGGCUGCGGACGGUGCCCAGAUGCGAGGGGGCGACUGCAACCCUUGGCACAUCGACUCACCGCCGCUGACGCCGCUGUUGAUGCCGUUGCUACCUCUGCCGUCGCCGUCGCCGUCGCCGUCGCCGUCGCCGUCGCCGUCGUUGCUAGCUGUCCCGCCAUGACCCGUUCGAUCUAUGAGCCGCUGCUGCCCCUCAAGCUGCUGCAUCAGACGUUCCACGACGCCGGCGGCGGCGGCGGCGGCGGCGGCGGGGCCGGCAGUGGCAGCAGCUUGAGGGGCGGCGGCGGUGGCGCUGACAGUCAUCAGAAGUGUAGCGUGUGGACAGGGCAACAGUCUGCCGCUGCCACCGCCGCCGCCACUGGUUUGCAGGCUACAGCUGCAGCCGCCGCCGCCCCUGCGUUGCGAGCUCGUUCUGGUGCUGCCGCCGUCGCUCGUCCCGCCGACCAUAACGCCGUCUCCAACUUCAUCUGCCGGGCCAUUGGUGUCAACGCCGUGCUUAGGGCCCAAGUCCGGGUACCGUACGACAGCUACAGUGCGGUCCCCGGCGCCGCCACGUCGACGGCGGCGGCGGUAGCGGCCGCCGCCGUCGGUCUCCGUAUCCGCGUCGGCUGCCGCAUUGGCGUCCUCCAUGUCUCUACCGUAGACGGAGUCUUCGCUCCCGCUAUUCCCGCUGCUGCCGCGGCGGCGGCGUUGGCAGCGGCGGCGGCGGCGGCGGCGGCAACGGUUGGUGCUGUUACUGCUGCCCCUGCUGCCGGCGGCACGAGGUAACGGGAGGGGGGAACGGUCCCCCCUCCCCGUGUCGUACACCUGUCCAGCGCCUGUCCAGCGGCGUAUUUCGCGUCCAUUAUUAUUAGCAGCAUAAUCACCAAGCUAAAAAAAGGUUUUAAUGGUAAAAACAUAAACCCAGGUAAAUCCUGGUUCUCGCCCGAAGCAUAGCAUAGCAUAGCAUAGCAUAGCAUAGCAUAGCAUAGCAUAGCAUAGCAUAGCAUAGCAUAGCAUAGCAUAGCAUAGCAUAGCAUAGCAUAGCAUACAAUACCAUACCAUAGCAUACAAUACCAUACCAUACCAUACCAUACCAUACCAUACCAUACCAUACCAUACCAUAUGUAUGUAUAUAUACAUGUAUACAUACCUGUAUAUCUGUACCCAGAUAUACAAGUAUGUAAAACCCAUUUCCGCGACGCCGGGCCAGAAGGGGCCACACCGCCAACUUCGAGAGACAGCAGCUGCCGGGCACCCGCACCCGCACCCGUGGCGGUGAGAGGCGGACAACAGCAGUAGACACGCGGGGAUAUGUGGGGGCCCCAGUUUCGCGUCUUGUUUUAUAUAUAGCUCAAUAGCGGCUAGCCAUGACCCGUGGGCCGUUAAGGCUGUGAGGGGAAAAAGCUAGGCUUUUGCAUUUUAGAAUUGUUCAUUUUUUGCAGUUUAUGUACGUGUGUGUUUCUUGUGUGGGGGGUGGGGGAGAGAGAGGGGCGAACAGGCCCCGCAGAAGCGGAGUUGCCACAUCAUCCUCAUCCUCAUCCUCAUCAUUAGCAGCAGCAGCAGCAGUAGCAGCGCCAGGCAGCAAUAGCAGUAGCAAUAAUAGCAAUAAUAGCAGUAGAGGCAGCAGUAACAGCAACAUAAGCAACAGCAGCAGUAGCAACAGCAACAGUAGCAAUAGCAGCAGUAGCAUCUUACCGCCCAAGUUACUUGCACACCGGGACAAUGCGGCUGGUGUGGCUACGGAUGAGGGGGGUUUGGAUGUCCAUACAUACGGAGCGCGGGGGCCGGAAUUGUGGUCACUCAGAGGCUGACUGCCCUGCCGUACAAAGUCCAGGGAACCCGACGGGAACUCCUCGUACCAUGCCUCCAGUACAGCAGAGAUGCGUGAGGAGGACUGUUGUACAGCGGGACGAUGGUGACCAACCGAAAGGUUUGUAGGAUUCGUAAGGUCAGGAGAAAGGUACGGUAGGGGUAGGUACGGUUGCAGUACAUGGACAACUGAAUCACGGUUGUCGUACGACCUUACGUACAGGUGUGCAGAAUGUCGAAAGGUGUUGUACAGACCAGUACAAGAUUGUAGACUAGUACAACAGGUACUAGUAGAGGAGUCAGUCACUUUAAAGCAUUCCCCCUAGCAUUAAGCUAAAUUAACCGACGAAGCUAUUAAGUAUCCACCCGCCGACCCCAAGCCGCAAUCAGAACCCAAACCACUCACACCCCGCAACCCACCUCGGUCCGCAGCGGUGGCAGCCUCUGCUGCCGCUGCUGCUGUACUUGCUGUUGCUGCUGAAGGGGGUGUUGCUGCUGUUGCUGUUGCUGUUGCUGUUGCUGCUCGUUGUCCAAGCGCCGCAAUGCCAACGGCGACCGUGGCGACAGUGGAGUGGAUGUGGAGCGAACACGCCGACCAUGUCCACCAUACACAUUACGGCACGGGCCACCAGCACCACCACCGCCACCGUCGUCAGCUGUGCCCCGGGCGCUGGGUGGUCCGCUGCCGUGAUUGCCUUUAUCCCCCCCUGGAGGGGCCAUGGGGGGUCGUGAGCUCUGGAGCUGAUCGGCAGACUCCGAAUCGCCAGGUUGCGGCUGAUGGCCUCGAGUGAGGCGGUUGGCAGAGGUGUUGGCGGUUACGGUUACAGUGGGAGUGGCCGAGGCUGUGGCGGGCGAGGCGGUUGUGUCAUCCGUGUCCGUGAACAACUGGAAGAGGGUGCGACCUGGAAGUGGUUGGCAGUUGGGUGCGGUAGUUGGUGGUUGGACGGUUGGUACCCAAGCUGGGUGGACCUCCUUCCUCCAGCCCGCCCUCCUUCCCCUCCAGCAAUCAAAACCCCCAACCCUUCCCCAUCACCCCGGGGGGUCUGCUCGCCUUUUCUGAAAACCACUCGGGCAGUUGUUGCUGCUGCUGGCACCGCACACAGCCACAUGUACGACAAGUAACGGGCCCCAAGGGCUUCGGGACUCUUACUAACCCCGGGCCCCCACUCGUGCGGAACUUGUAACUCUUGUUACAUGUAAAACCGACCCCAGAGGUCCCCAUCCCCCCCAGAGCCCUCUUCCCCCCCAGGGCCAAGCGUCACCACGCUAACCCCCCCUCUCCCCCUCCGAUUGCUUCUCCCCCCGGAGACCCGGACCGCAUCUACCUCCAUCCACCACCGGAUUGAGCAGGCUCAAGUCUGUAAGCAAGUCCGCCAAACCCCGCCUCUGGAGGCCUCCUGUCCUUGCUUCCCCCUCCACCUCCACCUCCUCAUCCUCAUCAUCCUCCUCCUCCUGUCCCUCCGCCUCCUUGUCGUCCUCCAUGUCGUACUCAUGUACGACACCAUCCCGUGAGUGGGGAAAAGGUCCCGGCUCGACGCUGCCGCCGCGGCCAUCCCUGUUCACUGGCUCCUGAUGGGCCCGGCCACUCACGCGGGCUAAAUGGCCACUGACCCAUGGGUAACCUGUAGUCCUGCACGACGCCUUUUCCUGCUGCUGCUGCUGCUGGUCUACCGCGGCAUUCAGGCUCUCCACAAAUCUCGCUCGGAGAUCCCGCGGUCCAGAUGACGAAAGCUGUGGUCUCGGAGCCGCCGCCGGAGGAACCCCGCCGGCGCCAUUGUACUUGAGUGUCACCGCUUCUGCACACGAUGGCGCCUGCUGGGUGCUGCUGCUGCUGCUGCUGCUGCCAAGAAACGCCCGAUUGCCGUCAGUGGCUCCGGCUCCGGAUGCCGAUCUGGAUCGUUCGCCUGCCGUCUCUGGUAGCGAGGCGAGGUGAGAUGACCCGUGGGUCACUCGAGCUGCCCCGGGAGUAUCGGCAUCACAGUGCGGCGAUGGAGGCUGCGGCUUAGCUUGCUGCUGUGCUUGUGGUGCUGGUCCUAAUUGUUGUUGUUGCUGAUGAUGAUGAUCCUGUAUCUGGUAUUGCUGCUGCUGCGGCUGUUGUGCGGACGGAGGAGGCGGGGAAAGGGUUGAGACUAGAGCUGAAACGGGCUGGUGGUGCUGCUGCUGGUGCCUUAAGGCUGCGCGAACCUGCUGCAGCACAGAGCUACUGCUCUGGGACUGGGUGCUUCGCUGCGGGUGGUGAUGCUGCUGCUGCUGCUGCUGCUGCUGUGGCCGCGGUGGAGGGUGCUGCGGGUGUGAAUGCGAAUGCCGCAGCGACCGUUGCAGCGACCGUUGACUCCAGAACACAGUGCUGCUGCGACAUCCCCCCCCUCCCCCUCCNNNNNNNNNNNNNNNNNNNNNNNNNNNNNNNNNNNNNNNNNNNNNNNNNNNCUCCUCCCCNUCUCUCUCCCCCUCUUUCCCCUUCCCCCUUCCCCUCUUUCCCCUUCCCCCUUCCCCUCUUCCAACCUCCAACUCUCAACUUCCAACCUCCAACUCUCAACUUCCAACCUCCAACUCUCAACUUCCAACCUCCAACUCUCAACUUCCAACCUCCAUCUCUCAACUUCCAACCUCCAAUUCUCAACUUCCACCCCCCAAACGAACUAGUCCAAGCGGCGCCUACCCGUUCAUGUCGAAGAUGGUGACCAUGGAGGGGAUAUUGGACAGGGGAUCCUGAGUCGCGCUGCAGACGGGGGAUCCUCAGAGUCGANNNNNNNNNNNNNNNNNNNNNNNNNNNNNNNNNNNNNNNNNNNNNNNNNNAUCCCCCUCCUCCCCCUCCCCCUCCCCCUGCCCAACCACCGAGCGUUGGGAUUCCCAGACCUGACAGCAAUCGCAAUAUGCCGGCCGCUCCCACCCCAGAUGCCGCCGUCGACGGUGGUGGCGGUGGUAGUGGUGGUGGUGGUGGUGGUGGCAACUGCUGCAUGCCGGCAGCAGCAGUGCCGGCGGCGGAGGCGGAGGAGGGGGGUGCCGCCAGUACGCCGCUGCUUGGCGGCGGCGCCAAAGGCUCCGGGAGGAGGACUUGGGGACUCGCCCCCGACGCCGUCGCCAACACCGGCGAUUGCAUCCGCUGAUGUGCAUGCCGCUGCUGCUGCUGCUGCUGCUGCGGUGGCGGCGGCGGCGGCAGUGGGGGCGGCGGUGGCGGCGGCAGUAGCCGUCUCUCAGGCGGCCCAGGGGUCGAUGGCCCAAUGGCAGUAGCAGUGGCGGUGGCGGCGACAUUGCGAAAGCCCGGUGGCGGCGGCGGCGGCGGCGGCACGGAAGAGGAGGAGGUUAGCAAUGGCAGGCCGCCAGGUCCAUCGUGUGGGAUUGUACGGCUGAGUUUUGGAUCGUGGCAGCGCACCUGGACACCCACUAGGAGGUCCUUCCGCGCCUCCCCCUCCUCCUCCCCCUCCUCCUCCCCCUCCUCCUUGCCCUCCUCCUUGCCCUCCUCCUCGCCUUUCUGAUGCCCCUCCUGAUCCCCAGUGCCCGUACUUGCAUGGCCCCCGGGCAGCAGCGUGGACGGCAUGCGGACCAGGCCGCGCCACUCCUGAGGCCGUCAAUAUAUGUCACAUGUCAUAGCAGUGUUUUUUAACAGGAUAGCAGUGUUUGUUCUGGGAAAUGUUUUGACAGCGAGAACGGGCAUAUUCGGGGGAUGAUGUCGGUCAGGUCACGAUGACAAAAACAAACUUGUCGUUGUGGAGUACAACGAAACAAACGAACCAAUCACAACGCCGUCCCAGGAUGUUUGUAACCUCCUCCUCUCCCCCCCACCCCCGACGCGUCCAUCCAAUUUUUACUCCUCCUCACCUUGCCCACCCUCAGUGCCGACAUGACGUCAGCCAGUUUACCGGAAUCUAACCGAAAUAACCGCUGCAGUGCGGUGAUUGCCAUGGAGUCCGGUGCCACGCCACCGCAACUGCCACCGCCGUACACGUCGUACUGCUCACUGUCGACGCCGACGCCAACAGCUGCUGUGUCCGUACGGGAGAAGAAUGAGGCACGGCAGAUUGCUCGGCUGUUGCUGCUACUGCUGUUGCUGCUACUGCCCAGGUGGAGGCAGUGGACCGGGCUGAGGAUGCAACAGCUCCCGCCUUGGGGGUCGGCGAAGAGGCUGGUGCUUCGAACCCGGGGGUUCGUACAGGCUGUAGCAAGGUACGACGGUUGCUGAUCCGAUUCUGACUCCGGUUGCGGCGGCAGUCGAGGGUUAUGGUGGUUGCGGUAGUUGUGGCGGUUAGUUUGUUGCCGCAUGCUGAGUCCGUGCCCCACCAGGUAGCCCAUGUACCCCACAGACGAGCGGUUCUGAUGGAGGACGUGUCUGUACGGAAGUUAGUUGGUUUUGAUUAGAAAAUUAGUUAGUUGGCAGUACAGUUAUCUAAUGGAGUGGAAAUAUGGUGGCGUGAUGGUGAGUGGGGGAGCUCAUCCCGGGCCCUAAUACCUUCCCGCCAAACAAAAGCGAUGAUCGAUUUUCCGUGUUCGGCUCCAGUUCCUCAGCUGGCUUAUUUGUCGUACAUAGUUUUAUCUGUGUGUGUAUACUUCAAAAUUCAGAAUGUAUGCAUGGCCCUGAAGACAUCCACUCUCUAACACUCCUCCCCAUCUCUCUCCCCCUCUUUCCCCUUCCCCCUUCCCCUCUUUCCCCUUCCCCCUUCCCCUCUUCCAACCUCCAACUCUCAACUUCCAACCUCCAACUCUCAACUUCCAACCUCCAACUCUCAACUUCCAACCUCCAACUCUCAACUUCCAACCUCCAUCUCUCAACUUCCAACCUCCAAUUCUCAACUUCCACCCCCCAAACGAACUAGUCCAAGCGGCGCCUACCCGUUCAUGUCGAAGAUGGUGACCAUGGAGGGGAUAUUGGACAAGAUCAUGUAGUCGCGCUGCAGACGCGCCGCCAGCUCCUUGCCCUCGUACGGCACAUCAAGCUCCAACAACAUGCCAGGAAAGAGGGAGCCGCCGUCGGGGGCAGUGUUAACGCCACCGCCGCCGCUGGCGCUGGCCCUGGCGCCGGUGUCGGCGCCGCCGUCGGCGGCGUCGGCUGCUGCUGCUGCUGCUGAGGCGGCGGCGGCGUCGGCAGUAGUGGCGUCGGUAGCGGGUGACGAGAACGAAGCGGGCGAUGCGGAUACGUUGACGCCGGAUGGUGUGACAUAUCCUAUGGGCGGUACGACACUGCUGGUGCGGAAGGCGAAGGGCGAAAUCUGCAACACACACAUAUAUACAUACACGCACACACCCACACAUCAGGUCGUGUGGGGGGGCUUGGGGUGGGGGUUGGGGUUGGAGGGAGACGGAAGAAUUCCUCACCCACCCACCCAUGCAUGCUGCCGUUAUACACGGCGGCUUCAGUUACGUCACCUUCCGUGCAGCCCUUAUUACAUACACAUCACGUGUAGCAUAGCAACACACCGCGCUUCCAGUUCUGAGAGUGGACACAGCAGAAGCCUUUUUACGGUUUUUGAUGAGGGAAUGACAGCCUUUGGUGCUCUUCUCUCAAAGCGCCCGCCCGCUCACAGUCGGUCACGAGGGGGAGCUUGCAUGAGCGCGUGUAUUCUACGAUUUGGGAGAAAACCACCGAGGCUUCGGUCCAAGGUAUUCAAAUUACUUUUGGUUUUUUCCUUAGAGGGCAUGCGGGGACAGCAGCAGCCAGGGACAUGGGGGAGGGGGUGUUGUGUGGGGGGGGGCUGCCGGCACAUUAUUUGUUCCUGCUGCUGCUGCUGCUGCCGUUGCUGUUGCUACUGCAGCAGCCUGCACCUCCUCUAUGUUUGCCUCACCCUCAGGCUCAAGAAGUAGCGGUCGCGGCCAAAGUCCCCCGGCACGAAAUGCUUAGCGGUGGUCAGCUGCCCGGCGAGGAGACGUCUGCAGUCAACAGGGGGGUUUGGGGGGGGUGGAGCCGAGGAGCGAAUGUGUUUCAUCGUCUGGCGGGAGCAGGGGGACUUGUGUGGGGUGUGUGGUGUGGGGUGUGUGUGUGUGGAGGGCACUAGCCCGGUAUGGAAGCUGCUUCUUGCUGUGGUUGUGGUUGUGGUUGUGGUUGUGGCGAGGAUUUACGACGGAGGUCGAACAAACUGAGCAGCUGGGCAGCUGGUGGGUAGCAGUCGUGCAAGCUGCUGGGCAACGGCAUGUGAGGACUCUCGAGAUGAGAAGGCUGACUCCAGGUGUCCUCGGAUAUAGGGUCAUUCUGGUAACCGCGGACACUUUGCUUGUAAUGCUUGUAGGUUAGGUGUUUGUUUCUUUUUGUAAAAAGGAUGGAUGGAUGGUUGGAUGGGCUCGCACUCGCACUCGCACUCGCACAAGGACAUACCAACCACCUAAUGACCUCACCACAGGGGCACAAGAGGAUCCAAAUGGUGGGGAACUUACUUUACAGAGUCUUGGAACAGGGAGACCAGGCCCCGGUCGGAGCGGAAGCUUCGGGCCAGAAAGUCGAGCACCGCCUGCGGAAGCGAAGGUCACAAGUUUGGACUCGAACACCAGAAUCCGGAUCUGGAUCCCGGGGAGUUCAACCUUGAAUCUGGAUUUAAUAUUAAUAUUUUUUUACGUGCUUAAUAGCUCAUAUCAUGUACUUCGGAGUCGAAUUCCGGAUUACAUGAUUCUAAUAGAGUGGUGACAGAAGAUGGAUAUUUAAGUUUAAUCAGUUUGAACUCAAAAUGUUAUGUUCGCGCGGGAUGAUAUGGAUUUGCGGAAUUUGAGAAUUCCUGAAUGUAACGGUAAAAACUAUAUAUAUUUAUACUUAUUAAUAUAUGUAUAUGUAUAUACUCCUCUUUCCCGCUUCUCCCCCUUCUCCCCAUUCCUCAGCACCCUAGGUGGGACCCGCAGUCCAGCGGCGGCCUGCUGCUCAGGUCAUGGUUGCCGCCAGAUAGUGGUUGUCUUUUCCUUCCCCUCCACUUCCCCCUUCGCUGGGCCCUCCGUAAGCACCUGCUCAUCUACCAGUCCUAGGGCACGCAGCGCCGCCGUGUUGGCGGUCACGCAACGCAGAGAAGUAGAGCCAUGUUCGUUGUUCAUGACCAGUGUAGCGGCUUCCCUGACCCCGGGCGCCAUGGACAGAUGAAACGUGGCGCGCCCAGCCUUGGUGCCAUCCCUGUCCUCCAGUCGCGUCGCCUCGGCAGCCGGUGCUGCUUGUUGGACCUGGCUGAUGAACAGCUUGUCAAGUUGGACGGAAGCGGCCUCAGCGUCAUCCAGGCUGAUUGGCGUCAGCACGGGCACAGUCAGCACCACGACCGGUUGGUCCGCGUGCUGCAGCGCUGCGCGGAGUUGGCGCUCGUCCAGGACGGCCAACUCGCCUGCAUCAUUUGUUUGGCGAUAAGAGAUCGGGAUUAAGUGUUAUAUGUUUAUCAUAUGUAUGUUUUAGAUUGCUUGAUAGUUUGCGCGUGGCGUGCGUUGGUAUCAAAGCUUGGUCUGAAGGUCUUCAUCGCCGCACCUGGCUCGGCGCGCUGCAGCAGCGCAUCGAUGGGACUGCGGGCAUCGGUCGUAGAAGGGCCUUUUAUGAGCCUGGCUAGUCCUUUUCCAGCGCGGGUCCAGCAUGUGGCGUCUGUCACAACAGGCUCAGUUACGUAUGCAGGAACAAAUCCGUGUGCCCUUGUGAACACCUGAAGGCAACGGUGGUGCUUUUAGAUACCUUCUGAAGGGUGAUCCGUGCCAUAUCUUCCAAAUAACGUCAAGUCCUGGGUUGGCGUGGGGCUUUGGGCCCGGUCUUCAGUACUGAGCACGCAACCCAUGAGCCUUCUGCUCAAGUUAUGCUCUCCAUUAGCAUCCUAUUACGAAAUUAAUACCUAUGCCACCAACAAGUUGUGCCCUUCAUUUUCCGGGUCAUGCAUUACGAUCUCGUACAUACAGACCUGGGCUUAAUCUAUUGCCAACGCCGCGUGGUCUGUUAUGAGAAAUGUGCCAGUUAUAACUCAGAUAAAAUAUUUGGGUAACUAGCAGUAAGAAAACGAAGGGAUGCCGUACGCUUUGGGUUACAGUCAAGUUUCUGUUUUCGACUACAAGUGAGGGUGACCAUGCUUUGCGGUUAUCUCAGCGGUUAUACCAUUUUGUAAUUCCUGGUCAAAAUGCAGUAGCUGUGGUCUGCAUUUGUAUGAUUGAGACCAAGUUAUUGGGAAAAUGGGGACCAUGCGAAUAUCGGCCAGCUUACUCAGCAAGACGGAGAAACCAUGUUCAAGAUAUAUAAUAUGGUUGCAAGGCUUUAUUAAUACAAUAUUUUACUCUCUGGUAAAAACGUAAGAUGAAGAAUGCUCUGCCUAAACAGAAUGCCUUGGCAACGGUAUUGGGAUGCUCAGAUGUUGUGCAAGCUGUGCUAAUGAUCACUGCGAAUUCAUGGGAUUGAGGAAGAACAAAAGCGCUUUGAGAUUGUAGGAUCGCGCGUGGACCUCCAUAGGAUUACAACAUACCUCACAAAGGCUAUAUCUUUACCAUCAAGAGGCUCGCCACGACAGAGCGCUCUGCGUGCUUGCCCCCAAUCCAGCCAAAAUAUCGAUGCACCCCCCGGCAAUAGCAAGGCAUUCCGUGCCAAGCGGGUAAACAAGAAUUCCGCACAAAGGCAGCGCGCUUACACGCAGGUACUGGCUGCCAAAACCCCCAGACCAAUAUAUGACGCCAGCGACUACCACGAAUGAACAGGCCAAUGCCAGGUGGUGUGGUAUUGGAGUUCAAGGACCGAUUGGUGAUUGGUUGGAAGCAUACGCGUCAAGAUGUCCAGCCAAACGGGUACCCGUCAGACGGCAAGCAACCAGGAAUUCACAUGGCGAAGUAUAAGCAUGGGAAGGGUCUGGCGGCCGAGCAAGCGGGCAGGAAGGAGGUGCUCCCGCAUAUCGCAAUGUUUAUCCCGCGUUCAGCGAAUCGCAAGCUUACGCAGUUCAGGCUUUGCUGUUGGGCAUUGGCAGCUAACAGAGCGCGUAAGGGACGGUGUUAUAUACCUAGGGAGGAGCGAGUAUGCCCCUGCUGCGGCACUGAUAGCCACAUUGAGAAUGAGAAGCACAUUUUGUACGGUGUACGACAAAAUCAGGUCUGAUUUGGAUUCCCCAGGCUUCGAGCACAUGAAGGACGCUAUGAAGUGGGAACCUGAACGCCUGGCAAGGAUGCUGGAAUGUACAUGGUCCCACCGCAACUCUAUCGUCCGCUUUGGUCGUUAGUAUCCUUUAUCACUUGCUCUGUUCGAAGUGCGAGGUAGGAUGGUGCUUAUGGGCGAUCUGGCGGCCCUUGAGCCCUCGGCUCGUAUUGGGGCGAUCUGCAGGUACGAGGUACGCAUCCCCACGACCAUGUAACACACACACACACACACGCACACACACACACACGCACACACACACACGCACACACACACGCACACACGCACACACGCACACACGCACACACGCACACACGCACACACGCACACACGCACACACGCACACACGCACACACGCACACACGCACACACGCACACACGCACACACGCACACACGCACACACGCACACACGCACACACACACACACGCACACACACACACACACACACGCACACGCACACGCACACACGCACACACGCACACACGCACACACGCACACACGCACACACGCACACACGCACACACGCACACACGCACACACGCACACACGCACACACACACGCACACACGCACACGCACACACUACCACGACAGUGAAAUCUGCCGCCAAUAAAAGCUACCGCCCGUUGUACGGUUGCCUACAAUGCGGACACACAGGAGGGUCGCAAAGGGGUCCCAUCCCCCAAUGCAUGGGGGCGGGUACUGGUCCUCCCAUCCUUGGGGCAGGGGCAACCAUCCCCCAGGGGCAACCAUCCCCCAUUCUAGGGCUGGUGCUAAUCCCAUCGACCUCCGACAGGGUCCCCAUCCCCAUCCUGCAGCUGGGCCCCCCAGUCCUCAUCCUGUCAGCCGGGGUCCCAUCCCCAUCCCUUGAGCUGGUGCCACAACCCUCAUGCUGAGAUGCCUGCCAGCUGCAAACCUAAUCCUGUAACAGGUCUCAUCCUUCCUGUCCUCCUUUUAUCGGUUGUAACUCUUAACCAAGCUGGGCUGGCCAGAAAGUACGAAAAAUGGAGUCCCGUACAUUACACAUAGAACACCUGUAAGAAAGUCGCAGGGGGAUUGAUUGCACACAUGCACAGCAACUGUACGAUUUUCAUGGCAGUUGUGCGCCACUGUACGGCAGCUUGACUGCUUGACCUCCCACAUUAUUUCAGCCCUAAAGUGAGUUUCCAAGCAGCCACCAACAGGGGGCCACACCACCCACAUUCAGAUGCAUAUGUUAGUGCGAGCAGCAUUUGGCAAACUUGCUCACACGCACUGCUGAGACCGUGUUUACUUGGCUUGCCAAGAACCAAGUACCAGCAGGAGGCACCAUGAUCCAAAUUGGGACACGUGCACCCUUACACAGUCAAACGCAUGCAUGAUAGCAAAAUUAAUGCGAUCAUGCACUAAAACAGACCGUUCGUAUGUACAACAGGCAUCCCUCUCUGCCCAGUCCAUGUUGCAGAGUCGCAAGCAGAGGUGACCAGCUGGUGCGAACCGCCUCCGGGCGUAAGGUUUGGACAAGAUGCGAGAGACUUUUUUGUGCAAACUCUUUGAGAAGGGUCCAACCGCGUGUUUGAAACUCCGUUAUACCAGCUGGGCACACUUAGACACCAAAAUACCCGUAUUCGAAUUUUGUCCGAAUUGCAAACAGUACGUGCUGUGUAAUGAUCCAGCCAAGGAAUCGCGCGAUCGGCUGGAGAGCGUUGCGGCACCAUAUGUUGUGCUGUCCGCUAAGGUCGUGCGAACGAAAGUGAACGAUUCGCAGCAGGCAGGCAAAGUCAGGGCACAAGGAGUUGUCGUUGUCGCUUUUUGCGUUAAUCAAGAUGCGUGAAACGCGAACAUAACCCGACCCGAGGCCUUUUUUUGCAGCCGUAAAACCACUGAGCGAUUAAAGAACAGCGUGGCUACGGUCCACCGUUGGCGGAGGCAACACUGGGUUCGUGGUUGACUCCUCGUUUUCCAUCGGCUCCCCUCGCGAGCUUCCCGGGGCUACGAUGUGUGCGGGCAAUUUCCGAUAGGCGUCCGUGUUCUUUUUUGCGGUCGCCAUUGUAACGCGGCCGUUUGCCGCAUUGGUGGCCUUUGCCAAAGGGCUGCUGCCCGCAAUGAUAGCAUUCAAUAUUUUGUCUUUUGCUAAUUCACGCAUCCAGGUCGGUUUCAUCUCGAAGAUGCCGCCGCGGCCGCGGCCGCUGCAGCUGCUACGCGAGAAGCUUUGUGGUUGAGGCAGUUGUUCCUGGAGCUGGGGGUUGACGCUAACUGCGUCAGCAUAGCGUGCGAUAAUAAGGCAGCUAUUUCUCUUAUCGAGAAUCCUGGUUCUUCGGUACGAACCAAGCACAUAGAUGUCGCUCACCACUUCGUGCGAGAGCGAGUUGAGCGAAGCAAGGUUUGUUUUCGUUAUUGUGGUACAGCUGAUAUGGUCGCUGAUUGCAUGACGAAACCGUUGAGUCAUGCAAUGUUCAAACGAUUUCGUUUGGCUAUGGGAGUGCGAUAGUCGAACAGGCUUGCAAAUUGCCCGCGUGGGAGUGUUGAGGAAAUGUUGUCCGGUCAGUCUGUCGCCUGGUGCUUGCGUGAUAGUUGGUUUCUGGAUGGGUUCGGAGCCAUCUUCCGUACUUGCUGAUCGACUGUCGAACUCGUCAAUAAAUAGAAAUGAGCGAGUGUAUAUCUUUGGUCUGGUGUGCUUGUAGAGUAGUGAGCUGUGGCUGAGCUGAGCCGUUAUUUGCUUUUGUAACGCUCUGGCAAUCACUAUUGCAUCCGAUCCACUUUAACAAUGUAACUGCGGUUUUACAUGCGGCAACGUCACCUAGCGCCAACAAACUGUCUCUAAAGCAGAUCAAAAAGCUGCAGAAACAUGGAGCGCCUUGUUACGCUGCUGCCUUAUUAACAAGCGACGAUAUUGCCCAGCUAAACGCCAUGGACGCCACAUCGGCGGCCGCAUCCGACCCUUCCCUGGUGUCGCCAGAAAAACUGGAGGACUUGCUGGACGAACCUAUAUAAGGAGGUUUUUGAGCCCUUAACGGGACUGGGGCCUGAUCUCGGCACUGGCUACAUCAUCGGGCUAGAACCUGGCAAAAAGCCACCGUACUCCCGGCCGUACCGGCUUUCACAUCUGGAACAAACGGAGUUGAAAAAGCAGCUCGCUGACCUACUGGCCAAAGGCUUCAUCAAAGAAUCGAAAUCGUCAUUCGGCGCGCCCAUACUCUACCCAUUCGGCGCAAAAGAAGGACCGCUCGCUGCGCAUGUGCCUUGACUUCCGCGACCUAAAGAAAAUCACUGUGAAAAACAAGUACCCACUUCCGAACAUCAAACACCACCAACCUGCUCAACAAACUCUAGGGCGCGAGGAUCUUCUCAUCCCUAGAUUUACAAAGCGGCUACAAUCAAAUCCGCAUUACGGAGGAAGAUAUCCCCAAAACCAGCUUCAUCACACGUGCACCCUUCGGAACGUUCCAGUAUAGCUGGCCGCUGGAAAGGCCUCUCGAAAGAAGCUGGUAAUCGCGCUUAGCGCGUAUUUGUAGAGGUCAUGUGUGCCGUACUGUGUACUGGCUACUACACUGUGCUUCGUGUUGACUAAAGGUCAUGAACACCAUGCGCAAAAAACACAUCGACGCUGGUUAUUGCGUUGUCUACCUGGACGACCUCCUCAUCUUCAGCACCUGUACAUGUAUGUAUGUAUGUAUGUAUGUAUGUAUGUAUGUAUGUAUGUAUGUAUGUAUGUAUGUAUGUAUGUAUGUAUGUAUGUAUGUAUGUAUGUAUGUAUGUAUGUAUGUAUGUAUGUAUGUAUGUAUGUAUGUAUGUAUGUAUGUAUGUAUGUUCUCAUCGCUUUCCCGGGCUUUCAAAUAAUUGAUUAAUAGCGGUCGCUGCCGUCGCUCACUGCAUUGCCGCCUCGUUGACUUAAAACUCGUUUUGUUGCUUUGUUUUGCAAGAAUUUUGGAGCGACUUUGUGCCGGUAGGAAUGGUCACGUGUACGACGCUCCGUGUACGACAUUGCGUUAAAGUCGGAGAAGCGCAUAACGCUGAGAGUAGUCGGCCGCCGCGGCGGCGCUUAUCCCCCCUGGACUCCAAAACUAGCAUAUGCUUGGCCGUGUGUGAGAAGGCCCACGUCAUGUCGUACAUGCGGUUGGAGCUCGUUUAGGGUGUUGCACACACGGACGAGCCGGUGGUCGGGCUUCACUGCAACAACUAACUAACUAACGAAACCCGCUUAUCCCCAGCCGCAGAUAAACCCACCACCACCCGCCCAAAACCAAAACCCCCAAUCCACCCCUCAUGCAAAAAGCUCCGCCUCCUCCUCCGCCUCCUCCUCCACGUCCUCCUCCACGUCCUCCUCCACGUCCUCCACCUCCUUGUAUUAGUCCUAGUAGGCUACACAUACGGAGCAGUGUUUUUCUUUUCAAUUUUGCCGGUGAAAUUUCCAGUCCGAACGGAGGAAUAGGUUUUUAGUCGCGGGAAUAUAAGUAUUCCGAAUCUGUAAGGCGCUGGGGGGGGCUCCGCCCCCCCCAGACCCCCCCCGAAGAGUUACAGUUUACUUCGUGCAAACGCCGUGGGGAAUGCCGCAACACGCGCACACCACAAUCUCUCAAACACUGAUCGAAUAGAGUUCGUUCACCAUCGUUCGUCUUGCAUCAUGUUGAAAGAUAACACUACACGACUUUCCGGGUUGCAAAAGUAAUGAUGCAUAGCAGCAAUGGACCGGAACCACCAAACGCAGCCUGUUUCCUGGACCAUCGCGAUUGUCUCCAUUUGACGAACGUUGAUGUUUGGCCCGCUCGCUGUUGACAACCGGAGUGGCGUCAUUGUCGUCGGCUGGCUGCAGCAUUGCGCCCGCAUUCCCUACGACCUCUAUACCGUCUUCAUUAACGUCGCUAAUGGCUUCAGUGAUUUUUUAUAUCUGCUUUAAUAACCUAACACGCUUUGGGAGCUUCGGGUCAAUGUUUUGCAGCGUUUGGUCCGGUCAGAAACAGUCCGAUUCCUCGUUGACUUUCGGGCGUGAGCUUCCUAACAGUAUCCAUGGCAUUAAAGUACUAUGAUAUGGUUAACAUGUAUGUCUCCUGUGAGAUUCUAGCGGCUUUGGCAUGGACAGUCCAUUUUUGGCUGGAGGAAUGAACUUGCACGGUCGGAACGUUAUUUAUUCUUAACUUUCAGGACCACGAACAUUUUUUUAUUCCGAAUUCGGAAUAUAUUCCGCAAAAAAAUAACGCUGAUACGGAGGCUACCCGAUCGAUCCGUAGGUCUGCUGCUCUCUUCCACUGCGAUCAGGACCCGAGAGCUGUCCAUUUCCCCCCCGCGGUCGGUGGGGUAUCGGCUAAGUCAAUACACACCCACACCCACACCCCAUACACCGUAACAUGAACGCUUAUGAACGGUCCACGACCCCCCCGGCUUUGACGGCCCCCCCCCGCCGCACUUGUGCGGGCAGUGGAACUGUAACUGUAACUGUGUAAUAGGUCGUCAAUCCAUUCAUGCCGUUGGCCCCACCACCACCACCACCACCACCACCACCACGAUCACCACCACGACCAAAAACAACAACAGCAACAACCCACAGCCCACAGUGUAACACCCCAACAACAAUAGCGGCAACGAAAACAGCAGCAGCAGCAGCAACAGCAACACUGCCAUCGACAACAAUUACAGGUGCACAUCUCUACAGCCACAGAAAUCAGUGGUUCGAGGACAUCAGAGGUUGUACAACAUGUACGACAGUCAAGAAAUAUCAGAAGAACCUAGUACUGAAAAACGCACCAUCAUUUCUCAUUUUAAACAUAACUGACUUCUUUUUGCUGUUCCAGGCUGCCGGCCUGCCGAGCUAACUCCGGGCGGCUAGCAACCGUUCGGGAUAUGCCCACGACCGGGAAAGGGGCGGGGGGGGGGGGGCCCGGAUUGUGUUGUUUGUGAUGAACCGUUGCCGCCACAGGGCGGCGCUUCAGCAUCUCUUUUUACACACAUACACACAUACAUACAGACGCGCACACAUACAUACAUACAUACGAGCUACAUGUGCCCUCCUACCACCCGCAUAUCUAUCGCCACAAGCACACAAACCCAAAAAGCCCAGUAAUCCCGGCUCCGGGCCCCAAACGGCUCCGGGCUCCGAAACCCACCCACAUGAAAUCGGCAAUCGCCCGUGAGCGCAUCAAAGGCAAUGCCCACCUCCUCACAAACCCCAACAAACCCCCUACUUACUCUAUUACUUCCUACCCGCACAGACAGACAGACAGACACACAAAGACACAUACACGCACAUGAGCCACACGAAGGCCAACAGACCAACCGCGAACCACACCACCUGUUUAUCUGCUUAGUCGUGUAUCUAUGUAUGUAUGUUGUUACAGGGUGGUUAACUUCGCCAGCGGCCCCCUUUCCCGGGGCAGUUCCUGCUCUCCCCUGCUAGAGGGGCACCCUAAUCCGUCACCCCAUCCGACUUCAGAAUGUAUUCGUUGAGUUCGGCAACUCACCACCAGCAUCCAACCAAAUCUAGCGGAUCAACGGCGCAUCAACUGAGUUCCUGGUCAGCUCGCAAGUUGAUAUUAUCACGUCCUACAUCGUCCAUAUGAUGGGGGGCCACCUCCCAUAUCAACAUUCCUCAAACACCCGAGGAGCCGGCAGGCGGAUUUGAACCCGGGUCG